CUUUUAUGAUGUAACUUGCACAUGUCUUAUGCCCUGUCAAUACCAGAACCUGAAAAGGUGAACCCACUGGUGUUGCCUGGGUAACAAGGGGAUGACUUGUUGGGCUUACCAACAGUCUGAGAAGG
rnacentral:snoRNA from 1 species